rnacentral:rRNA from 1 species
AUUGAACGCUGGCGGCAGGCCUAACACAUGCAAGUCGAGCGGAUGAAGGGAGCUUGCUCCUGGAUUCAGCGGCGGACGGGUGAGUAAUGCCUAGGAAUCUGCCUGGUAGUGGGGGAUAACGUCCGGAAACGGGCGCUAAUACCGCAUACGUCCUGAGGGAGAAAGUGGGGGAUCUUCGGACCUCACGCUAUCAGAUGAGCCUAGGUCGGAUUAGCUAGUUGGUGGGGUAAAGGCCUACCAAGGCGACGAUCCGUAACUGGUCUGAGAGGAUGAUCAGUCACACUGGAGCUGAGACACGGUCCAGACUCCUACGGGGGGCAGCAGUGGGGAAUAGUGGACAAUGGGCGAAAGCCUGAUCCAGCCAUGCCGCGUGUGUGAAGAAGGUCUUCGGAUUGUAAAGCACUUUAAGUUGGGAGGAAGGGCAGUAAGUUAAUACCUUGCUGUUUUGACGUUACCAACAGAAUAAGCACCGGCUAACUUCGUG